GACGAUGAUGAAGAAAAUAUUGAAACUAUUAAAGAAGCAUGUUAUUGGGCAUCAGCAAAAAAGAUCUACGCAAGUUGUUUUGUGUCCUAUUGCUAACACAUAGUAUCACAAAUCCAGAAAACGUUUGCAAUUGUUACUUGGGAAAAACUAUCACAAGAUAUAUUAUGCAACCAAAGAAAAGGCUUGCGUUUAUCAGAAGAUCAAAUUAAGAGUUUAUCUUUGGAGGAGAUUGAAUCAAUCAUGCGUUUGAACGGAAGCUCAUUGACGUUGUUUAAGUUUUGAAACGUGUUAUCAAUAGUAUACUCUUCUAUUGGUUAAGCUGUGGCUUUUGUUAGAUUUUCUAUUAAUUAAAUUUUUUGUUUUACUUUUGUGGAAUUCGCGAUAUUGUAAUGAUAUAAAUCAAUAAUAAAGAUAUUUUUCUCACUA